rnacentral:tRNA from 1 species
GAAAAAUUAGUUAAAUUAUAACAUUAGUUUGUCAAACUAAAAUUAUCUCAAAAAUAUUUUUCU